GACGAACGCUGGCGGCGUGCUUAACACAUGCAAGUCGAACGGAAAGGCCCCUUCGGGGGUACUCGAGUGGCGAACGGGUGAGUAACACGUGAGUAACCUGCCCUGACUUCGGGAUAACUUCAGGAAACUGGGGCUAAUACCGGAUAGGAAUCCUUGCUGCAUGGUGGGGGUUGGAAAGCUUCGGCGGUUUUGGAUGGACUCGCGGCUUAUCAGCUUGUUGGUGGGGUAGUGGCUUACCAAGGCUUUGACGGGUAGCCGGCCUGAGAGGGCGACCGGCCACAUUGGGACUGAGAUACGGCCCAGACUCCUACGGGAGGCAGCAGUGGGGAAUAUUGCACAAUGGGCGGAAGCCUGAUGCAGCAACGCCGCGUGCGGGAUGACAGCCUUCGGGUUGUAAACCGCUUUCAGCAGGGGCGAAGCUUGUGGUGACGGUACCUGCAGAAGAAGCACCGGCUAACUACGUG
rnacentral:rRNA from 1 species